CUUUGCCUGAGACUGAGAUUAAAGGCGGUGGACUAAUUAAUUUGGCAGAAAAAAUUUCAAGUCAGUCUAAUAUUGAGGUGGUAGCAUGGCUACUGUUGGGGGCUUUUAGCCAGAUUUAUGUUGAGAAUCAGGAGCAAAGAGCCCAGCAGAUUUAAAAUGUUUUGAAUUUUUCCAGAAAGAAAGCUCCAGUAAAGCCAUGGACUGUAAAGAUAGAGCAGAGGAGAUACUGAUUGCUGAGAAGGAACAGACAAAUAGAAAAGAUGGCCUGAGGGUAUCACAGGAAGCAGCAGGACUCCACCCCUUUGAAGCCUCAAAAUUGCAAAAGUGAAAGACUCUUUUGAGAAGAGAGGCCCAGAGCACCAUGUUCCAGAAUGCUGGUGCCCUAGGGAAGUUUUCCUUAGCUUUGGGUUCAUAGGCACUGGACCCCUACAGCCAAGAGAGAGGGAAGCCUGGCUACUGCUCCAGCUGGCUGCAGAUCCACGUGGUGCUGGUUUUAGGUGCAUACAGAAUGCAAGAGUUGUGGAGUCAGGAAGGCUUCCACCCAGAUUUCAGAAGAGGUCUGGGAGGCCAGGCAGCGUGCCCCCGAGAGGGCAGUGUGUGCAGCUGUGAGUGUGAAGCCAAAGGUGCGGUGGAGACCCCAGAAGGUUGGAGAAACCAGGAACAUGGAUUACCUGAGGAAAACUGUAAGGAAGGAGCAGAGCCUGCCUCAGAGAGAAGCCAUGGGAGCUACAACCCCAGCAGUGCAUAGGGGUGGAGCCACCCAAGCCCUUUGGAGUUCACAUCUUGUCACAGAUUGCAGGAAUUACUGUUUGCCCUGCUGGAUUUUGGACUUGCUUUGAUGCCAUUCCUUUGUGUCCCCUUAUUUGUAACUUUGGAAUAUAAUGUUCAUCUUGUGCCAUUGUUUGCUGUGAAUGUUGGAUGUGUUUGACUUUCUUUUCAUUUGUUCAGGGGCUCGCAGCUAAGACUUUGCCUUCAAUCUCAGGGGAGACCUUGGACGUUGCACUUUUCAGCAGUGCUGAAACUUAGGAAUUUGACAACUCGUAGAGAUGGACUAACGGCCUUUCAGCCAGCUGAUUAUGGACUGAAACCGCUAUGAACUGUAAGCUAAAUAAACCUUUCCCCGCC
rnacentral:lncRNA from 1 species